rnacentral:lncRNA from 1 species
UCUCGGGUUCUUAAUUUGUCCUCUCAAAUAAUAUUUUUUUUCAUUCUCUUCAUCUUCGCAGUUGGGUGUUGCAACUUUCAGGUCUGUUCCUCUCUAAAUUUUUGCCCAAAUCUUGUUCUUUUUGUUAUUAAUUUCUAUUAGGGCUUUAUUUUCUUAUCUGAUUUAUUUUUUAUAAUUAGAGAGUUGGUAUGAGGUAUACGAGUUUAGGGUAAAACUUUGAGUUAUUUGCCGGCGAUAAUGAUGGUCUUUUACCAUGUAUGUGUUGCUCUUAAAGGUUGAAUCUCUCGGAACAAGCAUUAUGAUUGAUUGUAGAGAGGUAAUAUAUUUUUUAGAGUAUUUUUCAUUUUUAGUUCACAUGCUUCUUCACUGUCUUUGUCAUGAGCGCUCUAUGGGAGAUAAUUGGGGUUAUUUUGCUCUAAUUUUCUCAAUAUGAUCAUAUAUGUGACACAGUGUACAAAUUCGAGAAAGUUAAAAUUGUAUUGAUCCUAUAUUUUCACUCAAUUCUUAGGGAUAAAAUUAUACAUGUUGAUUUUGUGCAGAGAUGAGAUCUCAUGGUCAGGGAUAUUAUCUUUUUUUUUCUUUGUAUAUUUUUUUCACGCUUCUGCUUAUUCAGGGGAUGCGCGUGUCUUGCUCCCUUUUUUUAUUUGUUCUUCAGAAAACCUAGGGAUAAAAAUUAAUUAGAAAAUUAUUGAAUUUUGGUUCCAAUUUUCUUUUAUCGAAUUCCGAUGGUUUAGCUUUGUAGUGAAGAUCAUGUCAUUGCUUUCUAAAUAUUGUUCUAAAUACAUUCUUUUAGAAUAACACACUUUAUUAAUAGAAUUAGAUCAUCGAUCACUGAUCCACGGGAGAAUUUCGAUGAUCUAAUGGUUUUCAAUUAAUGAAUACGUGUUUUAAAAUUUAUAGACAAUUACUAAACUAAACGAUAUAUUCUGGUUUCCUUUUUGGUUUCCAGCGAUAGAACAUGUGUUGGGUUAACUAAUGUAUCUUUGGUUAUGUAUAAGACAACAUUGUACAUACUAGGAAGAUCCACUUGACUAAUUAUAUGGAGUUUUGAAAGAUAUUCUGCAAUCUAUUAUCUAUAUAAUCCUAUGUUGAUUUGCAUUGUAUUUUAUUUCUCUUAGUGGUGGAAGAAUUUAAGAUAUAGUAAAUAGAGUAUUUUUUAUUGUAAUUUGAAUUAGUCACUUAUUUAACUGAUUUUUUAUAAAUAUGUUAAAUUUAACAGAGCAUUGCUAACCGAAUGAUGUGAUUUAUCCCUUGAUAGAGAAAUAUGCUCACAUCAGGUAAUUGCUUCUCCAUAUUUUUUCAGUAAGAUCAUAUGAUUGACAGCGAACAAACUUAGCUGAAUAUUAAAAUCUUUGUAUAAAAAUGAAUAAUUCUAGAUAAAGAACUUUUCCUUUUACUGCUCAUAUAAUGCCUAUUAAAUUAUAAAAGUUUUAUUUGGCUGAAAAUUCACUUCCUUUGAAAAUUAAUAGUUCUACUAUUUUACUCUAUUAUGUCUUUUACAAGACAAAUGACUACUGAAAACAGAAAAAAGAAUUCGAAUUGUGUUAAAUGUGUUGAACUUAAAAACACAUCCUCUCUGAUCGUCAUUAUUCAACUGCCUUAUUUUAGAGACAAGUACAAAAACAAUCAUUUGAUAUUUUUCUCCUUUCUUAUUCUUUUCUAUUUCUCCCUUUGCAGAAACUUUAAAGAUUCUUAAGUAUCCAUUUGAGGAAAAGGAAAGGAGUGGUGACACAAAUAGCCUCUUAAUAUUAACAACAAAUCUCCAUAAUGAACUUUAUAAAACUUCUACUAUGUAAAAUUUCAAUAAUUAAAUAUUUUUAAUGGACUCACAAGUUCAUGCGAGAAGUGUUCAUUUUUGGAAAGAAAUUUUUGUCACCAUUUUUUACUUAUUGAGACUACUCUUUGAUUCUUUGAAGCAAAAGUCAAGCUUCACUUUUAUUUGUAAUUUUUCCUCCCACCCGCCAAAAGAAGAAAAUUAGAAAGAUGCCAAUGGGCCUUUUGAUAAUGAUCUCCUUUUCUUUUUUAUUAAUAAUCAGUCAAGUAUAUUGUAUUGCUAUAUUUGAUUGAUCUUAACUUUUUUGGCCAAUUUUAAAGCUCUUUAGAUAUUCGUCUAUCAAUGGCAAUUAAACUUGUCCAUUGCUUAGUUUGAAAUAGUUCUAUGAACUAUAUUCACAACUCUGUACUUCACAGAGUGUGAAUGGAGCAUUCACUUUCAUUCCAAGUGAUGAAGGUUAUAACAUAAUUCAGGCUAGGCUCUUUGUCUUGAUUAGAUUGGUCACCUUUGUUUUGUUAUCAAUUUACUCCAAUUUGCUAAAGAAUAAAUAAUUAUACCCAAAUGUUAAUCUGGUUUAUAUCUCAUAAGCUCUUCAUCAAGAAUAUGGUUGUUCAUGUAUUAUUAUUAUUUUAACAUAUGAUUGGCGUGGAUGUCCGUUUUAGGAACAUCAAUAUUGGUAUUAUUACCUAUAUAUUCAUGUCGUGAAAUAGAGUUUCAUGUAGCUAGAUAUUGAAUCAACACAUGCUAUCUUUUCCUAUUCUUUCUUAUUGUUCUUCACCUAACAGUUUUUCAUAUAAUUUUCUUGGAAUAUACUUUAUGUUUGUAUUUCAUGUAUAUGUUUUAUCUGAAAGUACAAAUGGUGGAUUGAUUUACCAUCUUUACAUAUUUGGUAGAGACUAAUUCACUUGGCCACUUAGUUAGUGCUUGAUAGUUUGGUUUGUUCUACUUUUAGUUCAAUACAUGAAACACUCGAGGAUGAUAAGAUGUGUAUUUGUAAAUGAAAUGUGCAAUUAUAUUCAUAUAUAUUCUAUCUUUUAACAUAUAUAAUGUACUAUGAGCGUGUUGCUGUGUGACUACUUUUGACGUUUUUCUUUUUUGGCAGGUUAAACUACCCAGCAGAACUAAGAGCAAAAUUCACUUGCCAUGUUACAGAUGACUAAAGCCUCUCCUCCAACACUUAAAUUGGUAAUGGAAAUGAACUAUAUAUCUUGAUACCUCUUUUAAUUCAUUCGAUCUCUCAACAGACUGUUCCUUAUAUAUUUAUGUUUAUCUUUCUUGAAACAGCCAGUGUUGAGUGUGCCUAUAUUGUGUUUAGUUUUAUUUAUUUCAUUAUAAGUUGUAGUUAUCCACAUGCUUCAAUUGAUUCUAACAUGCCAAUAGAAAGAGUUCUUUUAUAAUGUAUGUUGUCUUUAUUUUUUCUUUUUUGCAAGCUAUUUAUUUAAUUAGUAAUUUCAAAUUAGUUUUAUUUCAAUCAAAACCUUGAUGUGUUAUGUUGUAAUGAUGUGUUUUUUUAUGAUUACAUUUGUGCAUGUCCAGUGUCUUGAUUAUAAGAAAUUUAAUUUAUUUAGGGGUUAAAUUUUAUCUCUAUCAUACUAUUUCGUUGAUGGAUGAUUAAUGCAUUACUUCUUUGUCAGUUUUUCUUAAGUAAUGGACUUUAAAUUAAACGGUUAAUAAAAAAGUUAUUACUUUGUAGGAGGCUUCUGGGGUUUUUAUCGUACUACAGAUUUUUAAAAAUCUCCUAAAGUUAGGACAUUUUUACCCUGAUCAACCAGUUCAAGCAAGGCAUUUAUAAAGACCAGGUAACAAUCAAAGCAUAGAAUUUGGACAAAGAUUUAUGAGGGAGUUGAAUCACCUAUUUAUAUGUUCUUAUCUAUGGUAUCUUAGUCAUGCAGUUAUUGUAGCUACUACUAGCAGAAAAUGUUUCAGCAACCAAGUCAUAAACAAGUAGUGCCUUUUGACUGUUAUUUUGUAUGGUUAGUAGGUAGUCUUUUAUAUUUGUUACUAUUUACUAAAGAUGUAACUUGUGUCUUUGUGUUUUUGAAAUCAUGGUUGUUCUAAGGGGUGUGUUCCUAUUAAAGGUUUAAAUAAUAGAUUCUCUAAAGAUUAGAAACAAUCCUUAAA